rnacentral:lncRNA from 1 species
AUUUGUACUACCUAAAAGUGGUAUUAUUACUUUCAAGCUACAUGCUCAAAAAUUAUUUCCCUUGGGAACACACACCUAACCCAAACAAAAAGAUUACUACUUUUUUUCUACUCAUUCAAUACCCUUUGUCCCAGCUAUCUUGUUUCUUUCUUCCUAUGUCUCAUUCAACAUUAUAUUCACAUGCUAUGAUCUCCCCAGACCCCUGCAGACUAUUAGGUUGAACCACAUGAAAUUGCCAAUAUUCAGCUGGUUUUGACCAAUAAAGGUGGUGAUUUCAUAUAAUUCAAGCAAACCCUAUUAGAAUGAGGUAGCAAAUUGUGGAAGAUUCUCUGUGUGCAACGGCUGUGACCACUACUCAGCAUACGCAACUUGCUCAGGCCUUUGAAAACCAACUCUUUACAUACUUUCUCUCCCCCACCACCCCCAACUUCCUCACUCUCUUUCUCUGUCUCUAGUCUCUCAUAGUCAGACUUCUGAAAAGAGCAGUCUACACUCACUUUUCUACAUUCUCUUUCUUAUUCAUCCUGUAGCUCACUGUAAUCUGGUUUCUGUUCCCAACACUCCACUAAAAUAGUUUCUGCCAAGGUCACUAAUGAACUUUGAUUGACAAAUUCAACAGAAAUGCUUCUGUCUUUAUCUUUCUUAACUUCCCUGUUGCAUUUGACAGAUGUGCCAAGAUUUCCUUCUUAGUAUUUCAUCUCUUUCUCUGACUUGCAUGAUCUGCCUUUCUUUUGAUUUACAGAUAUUUUCCCAAACCAGAUUUUCAGCCUUUUGAGGGCAUAGGAUUUGUGUCUUAUUCAGCUGUGUAUCCCAGGGCCUAGUUUAGUAUAGCCUCUGCAAGGUGCUUAUCUAUAUUUGUUGAAUGAAUGAGAAACAAUGAAUUAGCGAAAUGACAGCACUUUGUUAAUUAUUAGUCAUUGCAAAUAUUUAGUUUCUCUUUGGUUUAAUCCCUAUGUCUAGCAACUUCUCUACCUGACUCACUGCCAUGCAUAAUUUUAAUAAUGUAUAGCUGGCAGGGUGCCACAUUCUUCAUGUUUUCGUCUGAGAAAUCCUACUUGAUAGUUGGAGGCAAGGCAGUUGAGACUGAAAUCCCUACUGGUUCCUUUUCACAUGGCUUCCUCUAAUUCUGAGCAGUUAUAAUAUGCUGGGCUAUCACUCAUGAAUUUUAGUAACUCCUAACUCCUAGGAAAAAAGAUCUCUGUGUCCUUUUUUUCUUUUCCUCCCAAAAAUGUGUCAUUUUGAGAUCCAAUAAAGUGUGUCCAGCAAAAGGCCACUUGUUGCUUGCUUAACAUAUGACCUGAAAAACGGGGGAUAAAACCUAACACAAGACUCAAGGAUAACAAAAGAAACAUGCCAAUAGAAAAUGCAAUACACACACACACACACAAUUUAUGCAAGUUUAAUUUCUGUUGUUUUGGUUGGAAAAGAGCUGCAGGUGUCCUCUAAUUAUAACCCCAUUUUCACAAAUAUCAACUGUCAUAUUUAAUCUGUUAUAUUCACCAUAUAGCCUACUGUUGCAGCACAUUUCUUUCAUUACAAAUUUAGUAGCAGAGUUUCAAAUGCUCAAACUAACAUUCAGGCUAGUCAAUUAAUGCAUUAUUUACAAGUUAAAUGUUAUUAAAAACAGGUUCUUAAUUUGCUAAUGAUUUACUAGACCCAAAGCAAUAUUCCAAUUUUUUGUUGUUGUUGUAGUGUUUGAAAAUGGAAGAACAUUUAGAACAGUUGGGAUGGGAGAGAUGUCAGGGAUACUUUGGCCUUUCUCAUCCAUUUCUGAAUUUCUUUUCUGCAUUCUUCCUUCUUGUGUGCUGUGUUUGAUGCCUAUAUUAACCAGUUGCAGCAUGGUUGAGAAGAAAGACUUAUGAAAAACAAGACCAGCAUAAAUACUAUUGUGAGGAGUGUUUUAAAAAAUCACUGGGCAGUUUGGAAUGACUAAAUACACAUGUUCCCCAUACAAUUUAGCAUAUUUUGAUUUACAGUCCCAUUCCAGCAGCACAACAGGUUAAGAAGUUUAGAAGUCCAGGAAAUUAAAUGUUAUUGGCAUUCCACUGUUGUCAGACUGCACACACUGAAUAUAUGUCUCUUCAAAUACACUUUGAAAGAGUUUAGAGUUUCUAAGGUUCUAGGGCCUCAGAAUCAUCCCAACAAUCUGGAUUUUCUUCUUUCUUUUAGUUUUCUUCCUCUUUUUUCUUUAACCUAGAUCAUGUUCUAAAUCCAUACCUUUCAUGUUCCAUAAUUCCAUGGCACACUACUUAUUUAUGAAAGAUAAUAUGGGGGGUUGAGCUCUUUGAUGAAAAAUAAUUCAGGUUCCAUGAAGCCAGUUACCUCAUCUUCAUGCCUUUCUCUCCAGCUGUUUCCUUGGCCUAGAGGAAUCCAUUUUCUCCUCCCCACUUUUCUCUUAAAAAUUUUAAAAAACCUAAUUUUCUUAAUAAAAUCUUGUUAAAUUUAAAUGU